CAUGCAAGCCGAGCGGUAGAGUCUCUUCGGAGACUUGAGAGCGGCGCACGGGUGCGGAACACGUGUGCAACCUGCCUUUAUCUGGGGGAUAGCCUUUCGAAAGGAAGAUUAAUACCCCAUAAUAUAAGAAACGGCAUCGUUUUUUAUUGAAAACUCCGGUGGAUAGAGAUGGGCACGCGCAAGAUUAGAUAGUUGGUGAGGUAACGGCUCACCAAGUCGACGAUCUUUAGGGGGCCUGAGAGGGUGAUCCCCCACACUGGUACUGAGACACGGACCAGACUCCUACGGGAGGCAGCAGUGAGGAAUAUUGGACAAUGGGUGAGAGCCUGAUCCAGCCAUCCCGCGUGAAGGACGACGGCCCUAUGGGUUGUAAACUUCUUUUGUAUAGGGAUAAACCUACNCUCGUGAGGGUAGCUGAAGGUACUAUACGAAUAAGCACCGGCUAACUCCGUGCCAGCAGCCGCGGUAAUACGGAGGGUGCAAGCGUUAUCCGGAUUUAUUGGGUUUAAAGGGUCCGUAGGCGGAUCUGUAAGUCAGUGGUGAAAUCUCACAGCUUAACUGUGAAACUGCCAUUGAUACUGCAGGUCUUGAGUGUUGUUGAAGUAGCUGGAAUAAGUAGUGUAGCGGUGAAAUGCAUAGAUAUUACUUAGAACACCAAUUGCGAAGGCAGGUUACUAAGCAACAACUGACGCUGAUGGACGAAAGCGUGGGGAGCGAACAGGAUUAGAUACCCUGGUAGUCCACGCCGUAAACGAUGCUAACUCGUUUUUGGGAUUUCGGUUUCAGAGACUAAGCGAAAGUGAUAAGUUAGCCACCUGGGGAGUACGAACGCAAGUUUGAAACUCAAAGGAAUUGACGGGGGCCCGCACAAGCGGUGGAUUAUGUGGUUUAAUUCGAUGAUACGCGAGGAACCUUACCAAGGCUUAAAUGGGAAAUGACAUGCUUAGAAAUAGGCUUUUCUUCGGACAUUUUUCAAGGUGCUGCAUGGUUGUCGUCAGCUCGUGCCGUGAGGUGUUAGGUUAAGUCCUGCAACGAGCGCAACCCCUGUCACUAGUUGCCAUCAUUAAGUUGGGGACUCUAGUGAGACUGCCUACGCAAGUAGAGAGGAAGGUGGGGAUGACGUCAAAUCAUCACGGCCCUUACGCCUUGGGCCACACACGUAAUACAAUGGCCGGUACAGAGGGCAGCUACACAGCGAUGUGAUGCAAAUCUCGAAAGCCGGUCUCAGUUCGGAUUGGAGUCUGCAACUCGACUCUAUGAAGCUGGAAUCGCUAGUAAUCGCGCAUCAGCCAUGGCGCGGUGAAUACGUUCCCGGGCCUUGUACACACCGCCCGUCAAGCCAUGGAAGUCUGGGGUACCUGAAGUCGGUGACCGUAACAGGAGCUGCCUAG
rnacentral:rRNA from 1 species